rnacentral:tRNA from 1 species
UAGGAAAUGGUAUAACAGGAAAUACAUAGAGUUUUGAUCUCUAAGAUAUGGGUUCAAGCCCUAUUUUUCUAG